UUAAUAAAUUCCACAGAGAAAUCAUAGAAUAGGAGAAUUACAGUUUUCUAAAUAUACAUUUUUGGUUUUGAAUUUGUUUAAACAUAAAAUUUUAUCAGAUGGCACGAAAACGGAACGUAAAAUUUUGUUUAUACUGAAUUCUACAUCGCGGAACAUGAAUUGCAUUCAUAAAUCAAAACCAAACAGCUGACACGUUUUUCUACAUUUACGGUAUGUUUACGAGACAUAGCCAGGCCUUUAAUGGUAAGCAAACUUACCUCUUUUAAAAAAUAUAUUAAUCACGUUACCAAUGGGAUAUUCUACAAAUAUCGUCAAUACGAAUGCAAAACUUAUUGACAGAAUGAUUGCCAAUAUGAUUUGGCAAAACUGGGUAGAGUAAAUCAAUUGAUUCAAGUAUAUUGGAUGCCGAUGGGAACCAAAUAAUAUUCUCAAUAUUGGUACAUGCCACAAAUACAUUUGAAAUGUGAGCCUACCCAAAAGUCGGAAAAUUCCACAGUUUGAGAUGUCAUAAGCUAGACCUUAAAAUUCAAUAUAUAUUAAAUUAAUAAUGAAA